GGGGUUAUAGUUAACAAUAACAUUUGAGUUGCAUUCAAAAAGUACUACCACAAGUAGUUAACCUCA
rnacentral:tRNA from 1 species